rnacentral:rRNA from 1 species
CGGCUAGACGGAAAGACCCCGUGCACCUUUACUACACCUUUAAAUUGUUAGUAAAAAACCAAUGUAUAGGAUAAGUGUGAGUUGUUGAUACCUAAACGCAAGUUUAUUGUGGAGACGCCCUUGGAAUAGCACUCUUUGUGUUUUUUCUAACUAAUUUGUAUAUACAAAGACAGUUUAUGGUUGGUAGUUUUGCUGGGGCGGCAACCUCCUAAAGAGUAACGGAGGCAUACAAAGGUAGGCUCAAGAUAGUGUUAUACUAUCUGUAGAGUAUAAUGGCAUAAGCCUGCUUGACUGAAAGAUCGACAGAUCAAACAGGGACGAAAGUCGGUCAUAGUGAUCCAAUGGUUCUGAGUGGAAAGGCCAUUGCUCAAUGGAUAAAAGGUACGCCGGGGAUAACAGGCUAAUCACUCCCGAGAGAUCUUAUCGACGGAGUGGUUUGGCACCUCGAUGUCGAAUCAUCACAUCCUGGAGCUGAACAAGGUUCCAAGGGUUAGGCUGUUCGCCUAUUAAAGUGGUACGUGAUUUGGGUUCAGAACGUCGUGAGACAGUUUGGCCCCUAUCUACCGUUAGUGGAGAGGAUUGAGGAAUGCUUUUUCUUGUACGAGAGGACCGAAAAGGCCAUACCAAUGGUGUACCGGUUGUUAAGCCAAUGGCAUCGCCGGGUAGCUACGUAUGAAAAUUAUAACCACAGAAAGCAUCUAAGUGGGAAGAGAAUUCCAAAAAGUAUCCUCAAGGACCGUACUAGACUAGUACGUGGAUAGGCUAAGUGUGUAAGUGUUGCAAAGCAUUGAGCAAAUUAGUACUAAUUGUCCGGUAUCUU